rnacentral:rRNA from 1 species
UACGAAGGGGGCUAGCGUUGUUCGGAAUCACUGGGCGUAAAGCGCACGUAGGCGGAUCUUUAAGUCAGGGGUGAAAUCCCGAGGCUCAACCUCGGAACUGCCUUUGAUACUGGGGAUCUCGAGUCCGGGAGAGGUGAGUGGAACUGCGAGUGUAGAGGUGAAAUUCGUAGAUAUUGGGAAGAACACCGGUGGCGAAGGCGGCGCUCUGGACCGAGACUGACGCUGAGGCGCGAAAGCGUGGGGAGCAAACAGG